AUUAUUUCCCCAUUAAUUAAAUUGAAACUACGCUUCAGGGGAUUCACGGUUAUCUUUUUGAUUGCUGAACUUUUUCAUAAAUUUGACUAUUAUUUAAUGGUGAUUGAAUCAGUGUUGCCUUUAAUAGUCAACACUUAAUGGUCCGGCCUUUUAGAAAGAUGUAUAAAUAUUUCGUUUUGAAAAUGUUCAUCGAUGAAAAAAUGAUCUCUGUUUAUCUUUGUUUACCCUCAUAGGUAUAUUAACCAACGAUUAUCAUUGAGUAUCAUCAAGAAUCCAAAGCCCAACAACCUGAGUAUACAUUUUGUUGGAAAAAGCAUGAUCCUGUCCUUGAUGAAUCAAGUUAUUCCGGCAAAAUUAAUUCAAAAUGGAACAGAUAAGACAAGCUUUUACAAAUAUUGUUUUGCUUUGAUUUAUAAUUUCACAAUAUUCUUUCCUCAGUUUCUGAGCCAUCAACUAAUCACUUUAUUUUUUGGAAUCAACAGAAUAACAUAUUCUGUAAUGAACCUCUGUAAUUCUCGAGUGAUUAAGAGUCAGUCGUAAAAGACGACGUGAAACGUGAUUUUAAAUUGUGCCCAUUGGAAAGGUUCAACAAUUAUCUUGACUAUGUGUCAGGUUUAGUGUAUAAGAUUAUGAACCAUUCAUGAUGAGAAGAUAAUCAUGAUGGUAAUCAAAGAUACGUUAAUAUUCAAAUGCAUCAAGUAUGAUGAUAAUUGUGCUAGCAUGACUUUUAAAUCACUUUAAAACAACUUUCACUGUUAUCAUCAGGUCUAAUUGAUUUUUCAACUGAUUUGAUCGUUAUUUAAACAUCUUUUUUGUUGCGCCUUCUAUUAUUUAAAAACGUGAAUUUAUCAAUAUGUGAGUGAUGUUUAAAAUUGAUCAUUAUUUGAUUAUUUCACCAUUUAAUGCUACAAGUUGAAUGUCUGCUGCCUUACACUUUUAUUAUCACCCAUAUUAUCAUACAUGUACAUCUCUGACAUUUAGUAUUUCAAAAAUUGUUUGCUUGAGAGUUGAAAUGUUUUCAUUGUUUCAGGAGCCUUUGUUCAAUGAAAUAUCAAACGAUCUUUAGCUUAUUCUAUUGAAUUUUUGUGGUUAUUUAAGGAAAUGUUUACCUGUUAAAGCACAAGAUUCUUCUAGUUUAUUCAAGUGAUAAUGACGUAAAUGCUAAAAGAUGUGCUGUCGCCUGGUGCUGCAUUCACAAGCCUGAAAAUACAAAAAACAUGUUUUUAAACAAGUUGGGCAUAAUUGAGAUUUUGAAAGGUUACAAGGUUUGUUACAAUUUUGUUAGUCAACAACUCAAGGUUAAAGGUUAACAUAACCUAGGAGCUAAAUAAAGGGCAACAAACUGGUUUUCCUGGGAAAAAAAUUGAUGAGUAACAAUGACCAGUUUGUAACCAUUUGCCCGUCCUUUUAAUGACAUUCUAUGGUGAGGAUAAUAGCAAAAAUAUAAAAAGGACAAUUCAGGAGAAAAUGUUUAAAUCUUUUAUUGAUUCAGAAAUUAAGCAAAGUUAACAUGUUAUUUCUUUUUGGCAGCCUUUUCAGCGGCUUUAGUGACUUUUCCAGCAGACAAAUCUUUAGGUUUAACAGAUUUAAU